CAUGAAUCUGUAAUACAUAACAGCAUACUGUGCAAUGCAGCAUCGGUUGUGAAAUCUCUGAGUAUAACUCUAGUUAGAGACGUUGAUGGCAAGACCUUUGUCAAUGCUUUGGAUGGCAUUAUUGCUCGCUGGAUUCAGAAACGGACCGAUGAGGAAGAAUCGUCACUGUCGGCCUUCCGGAACAGCUUUCUAGGGCGCAAUCUCAAACAGGGAACAACCAUCUAUUUAACUUGGUUGGAACCCUCAAGAAUGCUGGUCUCGGUUUCGACGAAAGACCAAGGUCCAUGCCAAGUCGACGCUGAGGUCAAAUCAGCUACUGUCAGUUAUGCUCUAUAUGAUGGCUUCUUCGGCAGCUCUCCUGUGUCCCCCACUUUGAGAUCUUCCACUGCUCAGCUGCUAGAAGCUAUCCUUACAAAGUGA
rnacentral:rRNA from 1 species